rnacentral:rRNA from 1 species
UACGUAGGGGGCAAGCGUUGUCCGGAAUCAUUGGGCGUAAAGAGCGCGUAGGUGGCUAUGUAAGUCCGUUGUGAAAGUCAAAGGCUCAACCUUUGAAAGCCGAUGGAUACUGCAUAGCUAGAGUACGGAAGAGGCGAGUGGAAUUCCUGGUGUAGCGGUGGAAUGCGCAGAUAUCAGGAGGAACACCAAUAGCGAAGGCAGCUCGCUGGGACGUUACUGACACUGAGGCGCGAAAGCGUGGGGAGCGAACAGG